GCCCGCGGCCUAUCAGCUUGUUGGUGGGGUAAUGGCCUACCAAGGCUUCGACGGGUAGCCGGCCUGAGAGGGUGACCGGCCACACUGGGACUGAGACACGGCCCAGACUCCUACGGGAGGCAGCAGUGGGGAAUAUUGCACAAUGGGCGGAAGCCUGAUCCAGCAACGCCGCGUGAGGGAUGACGGCCUUCGGGUUGUAAACCUCUUUCAGCAGGGACGAAGCGCAAGUGACGGUACCUGCAGAAGAAGCACCGGCCAACUACGUGCCAGCAGCCGCGGUAAUACGUAGGGUGCGAGCGUUGUCCGGAAUUAUUGGGCGUAAAGAGCUCGUAGGCGGUGUGUCGCGUCGGCCGUGAAAACCUGGGGCUUAACUCUGGGCUUGCGGUCGAUACGGG
rnacentral:rRNA from 1 species